GUAUGUUUCCGCCAAGUACUUUGUGGAUUUAUGAGAAUAGUAGUUAGAAACGUUAUUCAAGGUCAUCGUUGGUUAAAUCAACUAAGGUAUAAGCACGAUGGUGAAGAACAAGGCGAGGUCCCUCGCUCAAACAGCAGGGGAAAUUAUGCUCAUAGGAAACGAAUAAUUCGUCCCUGAUGUUUCACGUAUCACUGAUUCCACGGUCAAAUAUCUAGCACAUUGCCCAACGUUAAAUACAAAAACUUAGAUGCUCGGUACUAUUAAUUAUCAACGAUGAGAAACUUGUAAGAUCAUUAAAAAAUAUAUUAACCAGUAAAUUAAUAUACUGAUAUAUAAUCACCUAUAAAUUCUUAUUUUUCAUUUCGUUAAAUACGUGUACUACCGUACAAAAAUAUGUAAAUACUUUCUUUAUUUUUAACGGCGUGUAACAAUUAUAGUUACAAAGCUAUUAGCAUUAGUUAUAAGGUUAUAAAUAUAUUUAAGACGAUUUUUUUCUUCGUUAAAGUUAUCGUGAAAUAAUAAAUCGUGGUACGGUAAAAUUUACUUUUAGAAAUUAAUAUGCGAUCAAAGAAAAAUCGUCAUCUGUAAGUGACAACUUUUAUUUUUUUGAGACAGUUUUGGUUUUUAAGGAAUUCGUCAUCCUCAAUUCGUUUGAUCGUCGACCUAUGGAUAAAACAGAGAAGAUUCUUCGUAAUUAAUAGUAAGUCUAUCGUGAUUAUGUAAUUCUAUCAAUGAUAUCUAAAAUUGGUCAACAUUUCGAUCAAUUGCCCAUUCUAUCUAAUUUUAAUAUACUCUUGCGUAAUAAAUCCUGAAAUAAAGAAUGUAUGUUCUAUAGGUAUAUUUACUCAUUUCACAAGAAGAUAAUAGAUAAGUAUUGCUUUUGAUCAUUAGUUUGCCAUUAAUUCAAAUAUUUUAAUAAUACUCGUGUAUUACAGAAGCAUGCAAAAUCAUGUCUAAUAUAAAAACGAAGUUGAAAUUGAUCUUGAAAUGGAAUAUCACAAGGUACGUAUAAACAUUGUGUCCACAUAUAUGUAUCAAUUGCAAAUCGAUAGAAUAUGAAAUAUGAGUAUGUAUUACUUUCUCGAAGAUCUAAAAUAUAAUUGCUGUAGAUUGUACAAAUGGAAAUGUAGAGCCCUGUCUCGAGUUUCUCGGAGAAAGCGUGACCGGGGUGAACGAGAGUAGCACAUUGCAAUAAAACGCUACUCGACGUUAAUAUACGAGUAGCUAAAUAUAAGUCGUUCCCUUGUGGUUCACCCACGCUAUGCGUUCGAUUUUGAUACACGUAAAUUUUUACCAGCUCAACGUAACCUGUCCCAACAUCAUACCAUGAGUGAUCAAUACAAUUUUUACAAUUUAUCAAUUUUCAAUUUAGUCACGACUCGUAAUUUAAUAUAAAAUUAAACAUCUUAUUCUCUUGGAGAACGUAACCUUCGACAUAACGUGUUUUCAUUCGAUCGAUAUAUUGUUUAAUAAAGACGAAAAAUCAACAAUUGGGGUUAGGUUGGGGUUAUGUUUUGGAAUUGUGUCAGUGAUGAAACGUGAACUUUUCUGUCAACGAUCUCAAAUCUCUCGAUUACUGCAAUAAUUUCCAAAUGCAAAUCAAUAAUUUCAAUAAUAUUAUAAUAUUGUUGCGUUUUUCUAAGAACAGUACGGACAUUUUUAUACAAUAUAUAACGAAUAUAGUAGUCUUUUUUGCGAAACAAAGCUAUAUACUAUAUUCUAUGAGUAAAAAUGAGAGAAGUCAUAUAAACGUAGACUUAUAAAAUACGAACUAGUAACGGAUUAAUUUUUUCUUUAACGAAGAUUAUGAAGACUACACGGGAAAAAGUAUGAAUUCGUUUUUGUUAAUUUUCUGGCUUUAAUAUUUUCGUGGCUGAAAGAAAGUAUUUCAACAUGAAAUAGUUGAAGAGAGGAAUAAUUUAAUAGGUUUGAUAUUAUGCAAAUAGAUCAUGAAUCCGUAAUCUUUUUUUAUACAGAAGAGAAUAAUAUUUCUUAUCAUGUUAAUUUCAUACUGCUUUAUAGUAUUAGUCUCUAUAUAUGUAUAUAUAGUUAUCGUUAUUAAUACUGUUUAAAUAUUCAAGAAGGUGACAAGAACAUCUAGAAUAGACCAGCAACAAAGACUAGCUUUUGGCCCUCAAGAUCGUUGGAUAUUAUGCCACUAGAGGAUGUUUAUUUGUGGGGAAUGUUAUAGGAAAAAAUUUACGUGAUAAGAGUUAAUGCAUGUUAGGAAUUAAUGCAAAAAUUCGUAACUCAUUAAUCGAAAUUAGAGGAAAUCAACAAAAAAAUUCAAAAUUUCAUGAAUUUAAUUUUUACAUAUUUUGGAAUGGAAUUAAUACAUGUAAGUAUCGCCAAUCUGUUUCUAUUUUUCAUCGAAGAGAAAACCAAUCCCUUGUUGUUUAGUAUUUGUAAUAACUUUUAAGACAUUCACAAGUUUACGUUUAUAUAACAUGCUUUUCUUACGUUUAUCCAUAAAAUAAGCAAGCUAGAUAUCGCUCCAUGGAAAAUUCUGCGAUAUAUAAAUAUUAUACAGAGAUACUUAUGGCAUUUUAAGAAAAUUGCAAUGUUGUUAAAAACUAUUUAUCUUGCAGGAGGACAAAUUCCGUUCAUUGAAUAUAGUAUUCUCUAAUAGAGCAAGUCAGGAAUUGAUGUAACGUCGGAUCCUACAUUUCGCAAUCCACGAACAAACGACGAGCCACGUUCGUGUCUUCCGUUUGAUUUCUCAAUCGACAAUGGCCUAACCUACCUACGGAAUAUUUAAUGUUCUCGUCUCUAGCGAGUCUAUGGUGACAAUGUUUUUCUUUCUAUCGACAGUCAGCAAAAAUCCAAAGUUUCUUCUUUCUUCGACAUUUCAUCUCCCUCCGGCCGCUACUGUAAACGAAUCACAAGGAUAUUCUUCAUCGUUGACAACCACAAGGACUUCAUAAAAUUUGAAAAAACGAGGAUUUCGAGUUUGCGGAGGAGCCACGAGUAGUGACGAGACCCCAAACACUUAGAAUUGCUUCGAAUCCAUAUGUGUAACGAAAGACUUGAAUCACUUCGAAUAUGAUUCGAAGUCUGGAUUCUUGAAAGUCUCGAACUCGUGACUAGUCACGAGUUACUCAGUGCAAGAAAAAGAACAGAAGCGUCGUGUCUUCGAAUAAUAAUGGCGCAGCGUGUAUUAUAUUUAAUACCGAGCUAUUAUUAAAGGAUUCGAAGAACGGUUUACCUCUUGGCGAUAGAAAACGUUGGGUAUAGCGAUAACGAGAGAAUCAUGCGAAAUAUAUAUAUAUAAGUACUUGUCAGAUAGACGAUAACGAAAUAUGAAAUUUGUUGUUUCGUGGCUGGCAUAUCGAGAACGUAGUUGAGUAAGGGAAAGGAGUAAUAUGGAUAACAAAGAAUAACAAUUGCUUUGAAUAUGUAUAUUUCUAAUAUUGGAUGCGAGUUGGCUCUAGACGGGCGCGUUAAAAUUAAUUAAAUUAAAUAAUUAAAACUAAUUGUAAGUAACAUUUAUUUGAACUAAAAAGCUUAACGAACUAUUACAAUCAUAAAGAUUUACAAAUAAAAGAAACGAAAGACAAAGCCAAUAAAUAUGCUACAAAUACAGCGCACGUCAUUAGCGACACCCUAACGCAGAAGCAACAUAGCUCGUAUGUACGUUAUAUGGAUUUGCGUAGAUUGAUAAGGAGAAAACCUCAAGACCUCAUUACAAACGACACAUAAAAAUCCAAUGAGGAGCUUCCAACGGGAAGCAACUUCGAUUAUGCCAACCGCUCGCCUAACUCAAGAAGCUACCUACUGAUAUAUUAGAUAACUUUUUUAUAAAGACUUUACCCCCUCAAUAUUCUGGGGUAAGCGGCGUGCGAUCCUUCAUAAUUCUUUACUUAACUCGAGUUUUAUACUUUACUUUAAUUAAUCUUCAAAAAAAAAAAAUAAAAAAAGAAAAAAAGAGGAGGAAGAAAAUAGACGUAAUAUUCAUACACAUUCAAUAUCGAAAUCAAAUAUUGAAAAACCUGAUAUACAUUACAAUAGUUCUAUUUCGAAUUCUAUAGACUUAAGGACAGCAGGGCUGAACGAUCAAUGGAAUUAUAAAAUCCUAUGACUUCCAAUGUAAAGCCAAAUAGUUGUAACGGUAUAGUUGAUCCAUCUUGGCGUCCUUGGUGACGUUUGCCAGGAUAAAAAAUCAAAUAAAUCGUCGAAUGGUGCCAGCUAGCAUUACUUGGUAUCUUAUACGUUGUAUAAUUCGACCUUGGAAGCUUCUAACAUAUUUACGCGUUAAAUCUCUAGCGGGGAGAUCGGUUGGCCGAUCAUUCACCUCGAAUGUCCGUUUCUUCGAGGCAAAAUUGGCAGGUUCAACAACCGGGAGGCAACGUACUUACAUCGCUGCCGUUAAUAAGAGGCAGCAGUUCGAUGCUGUCGUGAAGGAUAAAUUUAAAAGAGAGGCAACGCCUCCGAAAAUGUCCCUGACCCGCGUAAAAACCUUCCCAGUGACCAACACGAGGGCACGAGCACACGUUUACCAUAAUUCCUCUGCUUUAGUAGUUAUACAUACAGUACUGUGCAAGAGUCUUAGAUCACCUACGAUAAUGAUCUCAUGACGACGAUAACAAUGAUAUUUUUAAAAAGUACUUUCAUGUGACGUCACGCAGAAAUGAAUCUGCGAUUUACGGAUGUAUUUGAAUUUAAAUUUUGUGAACAUUACCGUAUGGUAUCAAUCGAAUCAAUCAAUCAAUUUUCUGAGAAUCUGAAGAUAUAUCAACUUGUAAAAGCAUCGUUCUCUUAGUUUCUAUCUGUAUUCUUUUCUAUGAUACGAUUUCAUGACUCGAAAAAAUAUAAUUAAUUUCUUAUAAUAAAAGAGCAGUAAUCUUAUAAAAAGUAGCAGUCGAUAUAAUCAUGAUUCUCAGUUAUCACGCAAAUUACGAGAAGCUAGUCGGGAUUUCGUAAAAAUUGUGACGGAAAAAAGACCUUCGCGUUUUGAAACACAGAUUGAUUUAGAAGGAAAAACUUAUCGUACCACGAAGAGACGAAGGAAACUCGUACAUUGCGUCGGAGCGUCUAUUUUCAACGAAAUCGAUAGGAUUUACGCAAUAAUAUCAUAGAGAGAUGUAAUAAUCGUUCGUUGCGUAACAAUUGCGUAGCGCGUACAAUUUGGUGCAUCGAGAAUCGAAUUUUUCCCGAUGCGGUUCGUUAGAUUGUCCAAUGGUUAAAAAAGAAGUUUCCGGAAUGUCACUCGAAAGAUUACGAAGACCCACGUGGAAAUUUCGUAAGGUGCUAGGCAAUAGAACAUCUACCAUCGUCUUCAUACGGAUAAACUAGCUUUUUUCUCAAUAUCUCUCCUUCUCUUGUUCUAUCGUCCAAAAAUUCGUUCAAAACAUUCGCUGAUAAGAAGAAAAAAGCAACGAAUACUUACCUAUAUACUUACACGUAGUGACUCGCGAAAGUAUUCAACAACAUUUGUUGAAAUUUCAUUAGCAUUGUAAUACGUAUAAUCAAGAAUAUAAUCAUUAACAAUGUGAUUCUUACUUGGUACUUACACGGUAUAGAUUUCACGGCGAUCAAGUCGUGAAAAUAUUUUAUCGGAAAGAUCGAUUCGAAGAGUAUCGUAAAGUGAACGAUAUCGACAAGAGAUUGUUAAUAUCGUGAACGAAACAAGCUGGUUGAGAGAACUCGAAAGAAACGCCAUGAAUCUUUUUAUAAUUGUAUGCAAAACGUUUCAAUACUACGUUCAAAACUCACGGUCGUCCCUAGGAGGCCACGAAAUAUAUUUUAACGUGGUGUAUAAAGGCCGACGAAUAUCUAGAUGAACAUUUGUCACUGUAACCUCCACGUAUGACACACGAAAUAAUUCCGUACUUUUCUUUUUUACCUCCUACAUCUGUUUGAUCUUGCAGAAAUAUUUGAGGAAAUGUUCACCGGAAAUGAGAAACAAAUUCGUCAUAACAGAUUGCUUAUGAUCGUGCGAUCGUCCUUAUCUUGAGAUCCCAAAGAUACCGAUAUUAAAAGUCGUAAUUUUAUCGUCUUUGUUUUUGCACAAGUAUCACUAGGUAUUACAAGUGUUACGACAAUUGUUGAGCAUUUGAGGAAGGAAUAUUUCUUCAACGAACAACGAAAGAUCUUUGGACAGAAAUUCGGCGCACGUCUGUAUCCUCGAGGUUUGAUUGUUUGGCGGCCGGUUUCUUGCCGAAGUAUUAAAUAUACCUCAUAAAGUUUGUUCCAAACUAUUAAACUUUCGCAAAUUCCACUUAAACAAAUUUUUAUCUAAAAUAUAUUAAUAAGAAAUGUCCACCUUCGUGAAUUAAAAUUUUUUACCCAGGAGAUAUUCUAAUAAAAGAUGUCUAUCUCUGCAAUCGGAAAGUUUUCAUCUAAAGUAUUGUAAUACAAUUUUUCCACUUAAUAUAUUCUAAUAAAAAAUUUCCGUACUUGUAAACAAACAGAUUUUCAUUUUCUUUUCAGCUAUUUUUAGACGAUCGAUCAACUAACUGUGCGGGUUAUCCCAUUUCAAUUUCUCUGUAGUCAAAUAUCUCGAAAGAUACGAGAAGUAUAAAAAAAAUGUUUCAAACGAAAGUUGUAGCAUAUUUGACGUUAUGGAGACAUUGAAAAAUCUUUUACAGAUGGUCAACCUCGAAUUUCUUAAUUCGAACCUAUAUUUUUAUGUACAUCGCUUUAGCUCACAUCGAGAUGUCUUCGAAACUCUAUCAAAACAUAUUUUUUGCAUAAGCUGUUCCCGACUUAUAACUGUUCAAAUUUGAUAUGUCACUGGCAUUAACGUAAUCCACUGUACACUUGUACGAAGGUUUCACAGUCAGACUUAGUAUAUCGUGCUAGCUCGAAAAAGAACCGACUUUAUUUGUAUAUAUGUGUUUCACUACAUAUAAUAUUCCCUUAUAAACGAAAUGUAAACCUUGUUCAGUGUGAUAGCCAAUAGACUCGAACACGUAUGAGCAAUCCUACGUUUCAUAUUUUCAAAUGUUGUUGACAAAUUUUUUUACGUACAGCUAUUUAAAGAAUAACGUUUAUCAAGUUAAACCAGUAACGUUUGAAGGUAUCAUACGUAGAAUUGUUCAUACGUGCUAGAAUCUAUCGUUUACAGCAGUAAACAGAGUAGGGAAAUGCUUCCAAAGAACUCAAACAUCUAUCGCAAUAGAACCCAUAAUUCACUGCAGUGAAAUAUACACAUAGGAACAAAAUCGGCUUCUUUUACAGCAACAUGAUGGCAACAUAAUGUGCAACCUUCUCGCCUUGUACAUCAGGUGACGUUAAUGUCAAAUUUGAGCGAUUAUAUCUCAGAAAUGGUUUGUGUACGGAAUUAUAUAUUAAAAUAAAGUAUUAAUGGUAAGUAAAGUAUUAGAUAUCAGAUUAAAGUAGUUUGAAAAUGACAGCCAUGAGAUGACACGUUUAAAAAUAUAGAACCCAAUUUAAAAAUUCAAAGCUGGUUGCUGAAAGAUUUUUCAAUGUCAUCAAAAGUAUCUGUUUCCCUCGAUGUGCUAUAACUUUCAUUUGAAACAUCUUUUUAUAUUUCUCGUAUCUUUCGAGACAUUUGCCUGGGAAGAUUAAAACGAGACACUCUGUAUAACUGCUUGCCCAAAUUAGUUUUCUAAACGUAUUCAUAUUAUACAUAUUUACAUACGUCAACGUAAUGACACUACCUCCGGGCGGAAAUACGUUUACACAUAUUACAUACGUGCCUUGAUAACAAGUCGUAACUAGACACUGUGAAAGAUUGUAUAUCCAUAUCCAGUACGAAGAACCACACUUUCGCUUUGUACGUAAAUCCGGUUACAGUUAUCUUUUAACUCUCUCGCUGAUCGUAACGAGGAAACGUGCAGUUUCGUUGGCAGGCCUGCACGAGGAGACUCAUAAUGCCAUUGGCGAACUUUCUGAUUAGGAAAGGUCUUCGAUUUAUCUUCGAUACGUGUGAUAGUCAGAAAAACUCCCGUCGCAAUAUAACGUUGUCACGUAUAAAUGACGCAAAUAUAUG